CGGGGUGCGCAGGCGCGAAAACUUUGCAAUACACGAAAGUGUGACAGGGCUAUCCCGAGUGCCAUCCGCUGAGGAAGGCUUUUACCCAGUCUAGAACGCUGGGGGAAUAAGGAGAGGGCAAGUCUGGUGUCAGCCGCCGCGGUAAUACCAGCUCUCCGAGUGGUGUGGAUGUUUAUUGGGCCUAAAGCAUCCGUAGCUGGCUAAGUUAGUCCCUUGUUAAAUCCACCGAAUUAAUCGUUGGAUUGCGGGGGAUACUGCUUGGCUAGGGGACGAGAGAGGCAGACGGUAUUUCCGGGGUAGGGGUGAAAUCCUAUAAUCCCGGGAAGACCACCAGUGGCGAAGGCUGUCUGCUAGAACGCGCCCGACGGUGAGGGAUGAAAGCUGGGGGAGCGAACCGGAUUAGAUACCCGGGUAGUCCCAGCUGUAAACGAUGCAGGCUAGGUGUUUGGACGGCCACGUGCCGUUCUAGUGCCGCAGGGAAGCUGUUAAGCCUGCCGCCUGGGGAGUACGAUCGCAAGAUUGAAACUUAAAGGAAUUGGCGGGGGAGCAC
rnacentral:rRNA from 1 species